GAAAUUUUGCAGCUUAACUGUAACAGUGCCGUUGAUACUGUAGGGCUAGGAUUUGGUUGCUGUGGGUGGAAUGUGUGGUGUAGCGGUGAAAUGCUUAGAUAUCACACAGAAUAUCGAUUGCGAAGGCAGCUCACAAAGCCAAGAUUGACGCUGAGGCACGAAAGUGUGGGGAUCAAACAGGAUUAGAUACCCUGGUAGUCCACACUGUAAACGAUGAUAACUCGCUGCCGGCGAUACACAGUCGGUGGCCAAGCGAAAGCGAUAAGUUAUCCACCUGGGGAGUACGACCGCAAGGUUGAAACUCAAAGGAAUUGACGGGGGCCCGCACAAGCGGAGGAACAUGUGGUUUAAUUCGAUGAUACGCGAGGAACCUUACCCGGGCUCGAACGGUGCAUGAAUAUACAAGAGAUUGUAUAGUCCUUCGGGACAUGUAUCGAGGUGCUGCAUAGUUGUCGUCAGCUCGUGCCGUGAGGUGUCGGCUUAAGUGCCAUAACGAGCGCAACCCUUGUCAUUAGUUACCAUCAGGUUAAGCUGGGGACUCUAAUGAGACUGCCACCGUAAGGUGUGAGGAGGGGGGGGAUGACGUCAAAUCAGCACGGCCCUUAUGUCCGGGGCGACACACGUGUUACAAUGGGGGGUACAGAGGGCAGCCAUCCGGCGACGGAGCGCUAAUCUCAAAAACCCUUCUCAGUUCGGAUUGGAGUCUGCAACUCGACUCCAUGAAGUUGGAUUCGCUAGUAAUCGCGCAUCAGCCAUGGCGCGUGAAUACGUUCCCGGGCCUUGUACACACCGCCCGUCAAGCCAUGGAAGCUUGGGGUGCCUGAAGUUCGUGACCGCAAGAAGCGACCUAAG
rnacentral:rRNA from 1 species